rnacentral:rRNA from 1 species
UACGUAGGGGGCAAGCGUUGUCCGGAAUCAUUGGGCGUAAAGGGUGUGUAGGUGGCGCCGUAAGUCGGGUGUGAAAUUUCGGAGCUUAACUCCGAAACUGCAUUCGAUACUGCGGUGCUUGAGGACUGGAGAGGAGACUGGAAUUCAUGGUGUAGCAGUGAAAUGCGUAGAGAUCAUGAGGAAGACCAGUGGCGAAGGCGGGUCUCUGGACAGUUCCUGACGCUGAGGCACGAAGGUCAGGGGAGCAAACGGG